rnacentral:lncRNA from 1 species
GGCCAGUAAAGGUGUUGGGAAGGGUUUCAGCAGAUGGAUAACAAUAUGUGCAGAGGACAGGAAAGAAUAAAGCAACUUGGUAAAACGAAGAUCACAUAUUGCAAAACCUACUGACUGAAACCACGAAGCUCAGCAUCUGCCAGCAAAGGCUGCCUGAGGAAUUAAAGCACAGAAUCAGAGACAAUUACAGGAAUGCAGGACAAAAUUCAGACACUGGAGGUCAUCAGAUAGGCUUGCAAAAACAAACAGGC